CUUCCAUUUCUUUUCUACCGCUCCGAUCUCGCCCUCUAUUUUUGUCACUUCUGCGGCAUUAAUUAGGUCAUCUUAAUUACCGCCGUCUAUUCAUCAUUAUAGCCGACCUCGAAACUUGCUUCGAUGCGACGAUUCGACGGCCUUUUCUUCUUCACCAAGCUUCGCAUUCCUUUUGUCAUUUCUGUUCCUUUUUGUUUCUUCCUUGUUUUCUCCGACGAAACCCCUCCUUCGCUUAUCUUUACUUCUUCUCCGUCUUCUCCGAUUUCUUUUAAUCUCCAUCUUUGUUCCCGGCUUCUUUUCUCUUCGAGUAAUG
rnacentral:lncRNA from 1 species